CCUACGGGGGGCACCAGUGGGGAAUAUUGGACAAUGGGCGAAAGCCUGAUCCAGCAAAGCCGCGUGUGUGAAGAAGGUCUUCGGAUUGUAAAGCACUUUCGACGGGGACGAUGAUGACAGUACCCGUAGAAGAAGCCCCGGCUAACUUCGUGCCAGCAGCCGCGGUAAUACGAAGGGGGCUAGCGUUGCUCGGAAUGACUGGGCGUAAAGGGCGCGUAGGCGGUUUAUGCAGUCAGAUGUGAAAUCCCCGGGCUUAAGCUGGGAACUGCAUUUGAGACGCAUAGACUAGAGGUCGAGAGAGGGUUGUGGAAUUCCCAGUGUAGAGGUGAAAUUCGUAGAUAUUGGGAAGAACACCGGUGGCGAAGGCGGCAACCUGGCUCGAUACUGACGCUGAGGCGCGAAAGCGUGGGGAGCAAACAGGAUUAGAUACCCCAGUAGUC
rnacentral:rRNA from 1 species